GAGAAGAGCUAGCAGAUCCCGGAUUUACCACCCGUGGCUAUCCAAGGCCGCGCCUGCGCAGAAGACAGCAAUGGUUGGGGACAGGUUUAUUUAGCGGAGUUUUGGUCUUCAGGUUGCUGGAAGCUGAAUUUUCGAGCACUCCCGGGUGCUGCGUUUGGCCAAGUCUUGGCUUAGGGCACGGCCAAGGUGGGACGGGAAGGCUGGCGCUGCUUCGUAUUGAAUCCUUCCGCUCUAAAUCCCACUGUUGAUCUUAAUUAAAGCCUGUUCAUUUGAAA
rnacentral:lncRNA from 1 species